AUCAGAAGUGCGAAUGCUGACAUGAGUAGCGAUAAAGGGGGUGAAAAGCCCCCUCGCCGUAAGUCCAAGGUUUCCUGCGCAACGUUCAUCGGCGCAGGGUGAGUCGGCCCCUAAGGCGAGGCAGAGAUGCGUAGCUGAUGGGAAGCUGGUUAAUAUUCCAGCACCGUCGUACAGUGCGAUGGGGGGACGGAUCGCGGAAGAUCAUCAGGGUGUUGGAUGUCCCUGUUGACAUAUCGAAGAUGGCGCUUAGGCAAAUCCGGGCGCGUAAAUCAAGGGUAUGGCACGAGCGAGCAUUGCUUGCGAAGUGAUUGGAAGUGGUUCCAAGAAAAGCCUCUAAGCUUCAGCUGUACGAGACCGUACCGCAAACCGACACAGGUGGACGGGAUGAAUAUUCCAAGGCGCUUGAGAGAACUCAGGAGAAGGAACUCGGCAAAUUGAUACCGUAACUUCGGGAGAAGGUAUACCCCGGUAGUGUGAAGCGCCUGCGCGCUUAGCAUGAUGGGGUCGCAGAGAAUCGGUGGCUGCGACUGUUUAUUAAAAACACAGCACUCUGCAAAGACGAAAGUCGACGUAUAGGGUGUGACGCCUGCCCGGUGCCGGAAGGUUAAGUGAUGGGGUGCAAGCUCUUGAUCGAAGCCCCGGUAAACGGCGGCCGUAACUAUAACGGUCCUAAGGUAGCGAAAUUCCUUGUCGGGUAAGUUCCGACCUGCACGAAUGGCGUAACGAUGGCCACACUGUCUCCUCCUGAGACUCAGCGAAGUUGAAGUGUUUGUGAUGAUGCAAUCUACCCGCGGCUAGACGGAAAGACCCCAUGAACCUUUACUGUAGCUUUGCAUUGGACUGUGAACCGGCCUGUGUAGGAUAGGUGGGAGGCUUUGAAGCGUGGUCGCUAGAUCACGUGGAGCCAUCCUUGAAAUACCACCCUGGUUUGUUUGCGGUUCUAACCUUGGUCCGUUAUCCGGAUCGGGGACAGUGCAUGGUGGGCAGUUUGACUGGGGCGGUCUCCUCCCAAAGUGUAACGGAGGAGUUCGAAGGUACGCUAGGUACGGUCGGAAAUCGUGCUGAUAGUGCAAUGGCAUAAGCGUGCUUGACUGUGAGACUGACAAGUCGAACAGGUGCGAAAGCAGGACAUAGUGAUCCGGUGGUUCUGAAUGGAAGGGCCAUCGCUCAACGGAUAAAAGGUACUCUGGGGAUAACAGGCUGAUACCGCCCAAGAGUUCAUAUCGACGGCGGUGUUUGGCACCUCGAUGUCGGCUCAUCUCAUCCUGGGGCUGUAGCCGGUCCCAAGGGUAUGGCUGUUCGCCAUUUAAAGAGGUACGUGAGCUGGGUUUAAAACGUCGUGAGACAGUUUGGUCCCUAUCUGCCGUGGGCGUUGGAUACUUGACGGAGCCUGCUCCUAGUACGAGAGGACCGGAGUGGACGUACCUCUGGUGUACCGGUUGUCAUGCCAAUGGCAUUGCCGGGUAGCUAAGUACGGAAGAGAUAACCGCUGAAGGCAUCUAAGCGGGAAACUCGUCUGAAGAUUAGGUAUCCCGGGGACUUGAUCCCCCUGAAGAGUCGUUCGAGACCAGGACGUUGAUAGGUCGGGUGUGGAAGCGCAGUAAUGCGUUAAGCUAACCGAUACUAAUUGCUCGUGAGGCUUGAUCCUAUAACACUGAUGGUUAUG
rnacentral:rRNA from 1 species